GGAGCUGCCAAACCAAAGGAGCCUGCAUUAGAACCACAGAAUCAACCCCAACAGCCCCCACAACCUCAACUGCAGCUGCAUCCUCAAGCACAGCAGCCUCCACAACCCCAAUCGCAACUGCAUCAUCCUCAAUCACAGCAGCCCCUGCAUCCUCAACUGCAACCGUAUACUCAGGCUCCACCACAGCAACCCCUGCAUCCUCAACUGCAACCGUAUACUCAGGCUCCACCACAGCAACCCCUACAACCUCCACUGCAGCUGUAUCCUCAGGCUCAACCUGAGCAACCCCUGCAGCCUCAAUCCUCAGGAUCAACCACAGGAACCUGUGUAAUCUCAACUGCAGCUCCAUCUACAACCGGCACCACUGCUGCUGCAACCGCCGCCCCAGCAAUCCCCGCAAUCUCAACUGCAGCUCCAUCAGCAACCCCAGCCGACGCUAGUGCCGCCGCGGCCGCAACCUCAACCCCAGCCACCUGAACUGCAGCAGCCCCAGCCGCUAACACAACUGCAAGCGGAACAUGGCGUGGACUGGACAGUUAGUGGUUCGGAACAUGUAGCGUCACUAUAAGUUAAGACUCUGCCUCCUUUAAAAUUGUGCGUUAGGUUUGCCUGCAUCUUGUACAAUGUAAAUUGAGUGUGAUUUCAGCCACCGUGUCUGUAAUAAUCUGAAGCUCUCUAGUAAGUGAUGUACUUACUGUACUGGAUAUUGUGUUUAUGACUGCUGUUGUCCCAUGGUAUUGUGCGUGUCGUGUCAGAAGCUACUCCAUUACCAGUGUAAUCAAUUGCCUAACUUAGUGUUCGCCUGUGAUGAUAAUAAUUGAUUUCAAUGUGCUACUGUUGGUUGAACUAUUGGUUGCAAGAUGCCAUCACAAACACUGAAGUUUAUUACAUAUACAUGCGCAAUGUUCAAUUUUCUACUGGGUACUGUUCAUUUUGGCUUCUACUGUCACUAGUUUUACACACAUUUCAGCAUUCUUGCAUGAAUUGUUUGCAACUGAUCCACCGUCUGCUACUAUACCACUUGGGAGAUGGCUGUUGGCUCAGUGGCCAGCAACGCUGUUUCAGUUCAUGGAUGUCCGAUGCGAAUUGAUUUCUCCGGCGGCAUCAACGAAUUGAUUUCUCCGGCGGCAUCAACGAGGUGGUGGCGAUGAUGGCGUGUUGGAAUAAAGUCUCUCCGGUCUCUUCCUACCUUGACGACGUCCGAUCCGGCGCCGGCGAAGGGCCUGUGAGAGUUUGUGUCCCCAGAUCGGUUGGUUCCCUUCAGAUCUUGACAGUUUGUGUGUCUUUCAAGGAGUACUUUUGGCUGGCGUUCGGUGUGGCGACCACGACAUCUUCUUCUGUGUUGUUCUGUGGCUUAACCCGGUUUCUCCAACCCUCUGACCUGGUGGUGGUGGAUUGCAAGCUUGUUCUGCUUGGGGUGAUGCUCCAGCCGAUGCUGCUUCAACGACUUUUAGAUCUCGUCUCAAGGGGCGAGUGGCUAUUGCGGUCUUCAAAACCUUGUUUGGCGAGGGCAUUUGCAGGUGUUGCUUUUCUUUGCUGUUGGUUUAGUGCAAUUUUCAAUCACCGGCGGGCAGCGUACAAUCAGAGGAAGAAGAAGACUAGUAUGCUUUUUAUUGUAAUUUUAUUUUUUACUGGUCGUUCUACGUCCAGUUGUCUAUCCAUCGUACUGGCUUUUGUUUUCCUCGAUGAUAAUCAGAUUUAAGAUGCCCUUUGGGUGUCUUUAUUCAAAAAAAAAAUGUUCAACAGAGCAGCGGUCUAGCCGAAUGUAAACCAGAGCUGGACACCACGGCCCGGCCUGCCAUAAACGUGCCGUGGCAGGAACGGCCCGCCUGAUUAAUAGCCGGGCCAUCCCGGCCCGGCCCAUGUGCUGCAGGCAGCAGCCCAAGCACGACACGGGAGGUAAAUGGGCCGGCCCUAGGCACGCCGGCGCAUUUAUUUUUUUUCGCAAAAUACACUAGAAAAACAUGGGAAAAGGCCAAAAAAAUGUUGAAAAUUUUAAAAAUUCUGUGAAGUAUUAUUUCGGAUGAAUCUAGAGUUUUAUUAGCUCUUACAUCAUUAAAACCUUCCAUCUCAAAGAAUUAAAAAAAAUACAAAAACAUGCUCUAGAAUUAGAAAAAGAUAAAAAAACAAAGACUACACUACAACAGUACUACUCAGAUCCUAGCACUACAAAAAGGUUGAACAUAUUAGAGUAUUAGGUAUUUAUAUAGGACAUAUAUAUUUCAAAAAAUAAACGGGCCGUGUUGUGCCGGCCCGCGUGCCUAGCCUACAGGCCCAGGCAUGGCCGAAGGCGUGCUGCGUGCUGGGCCCGGCCCGUUUAGCCCAUGGCGGCCCGUGCCGGCGUGCUCGCAGGCCGGCCCGUUUGGCCAGUUUUGAUGUAAACAUCCAAAAUUGUGAUAGAGAAGAGACCCAACACGUUUAGUGAUUGUUUGUAGCGAGGGGACGUUACAUUAAAGAUAGCUAAUCGAAUAACCAAAAAUGCCUAAAAAUGAUGAUCGAAUGAUUGCAGAUUCUAUUAAUGCGUCAAGAAGACAGGAAAAUUGCACAAUUUUAAUGUCUUUGAAUGUAUCAUCACACUUCCAGUCCCCAAACUAAGCCCCAAACUCUACCCAUCCACUGCCAUCUCAGCUCCCUCCUCUUUUCCAUCCACCGGCUAGAGGGUGGUGCCCGUCCUCCUCAUUGCUUUUUUCAAGAAACACAAUGCAGACACGCACAUACACACGUGCACACUCACCCUGUGAGCACCUCUAAAAGACCGAGCUAACGAAUCUUAAGAUUGACGAAGUUGUCAUAGACAACUUAUAGUUGAUGUAGACGCCAUCCCGUUGAAAGAGUAGCACCGAAGAACAUGUUAUAAAUCUAGAAAAUAUGCGAGCACCCGUGCUAAGUCUGAGGCUUGAACUUGGAUAGGCUAGCUCCAUCAAAAGUAACCUAAGUACCUAACCAUCUAAGUUAGGCUUAGUUCACUCUUUGACGUUUUUUCAGGUCAUUUUUCCUUUGGUUUUUGUUGCACAAGUGGGAUUGGCAAGGUGGCGGUAGUGAUGACGCGUUCGAACAUGGUCUCUCCGGUCUCUCUCUACCUUGAUGGGUUCAAUUCGACGCUAAUGAAGGCCCUGUGAGGGAAGGUGUCACCAGCCUGUUGGUUCUAUUUGGAUCUUGAUAGUUGGUGUGUUUAACAAGGGAAGCAACUGGCUGGUUGAUGCAUCGACUUCGACUUCGACUUCUUCAUUCAUUUUGUUCGACGGCAGUGUCCGCUUUCUACAACCCUCAUUGGUGACGAGGGGUUGCAAACUUGCAAUGGUGGGGUGCUGCGCCAACCGAUGUUUCUUUAAUAACUAUUAGAUCUUUGUUCAUGGUGAGUGGCUAUUUUGGUGCUCAAAGCCUUGUACCGCGAUGGCUUUUGCAGGUGUCCCUAUUCCUCGCAACAUGUUUAAUCUAUUUUUAAGUUUGAUGGAUGAUGACCAAUUGAAGGAAAAAGACGACUAGUAUAAUUUUUGACAUAAUUUUACUUUUUAAUGGCAUUUUGUGUCUUGUUGUUCUUCUCCUGUAUUGUGUUCUCCUUGAUAACUAGAUCGGGAUCGCGCCAAUGGCGCGGGGUGCCGGUCCCAACGUUUUGAUCAAGCAUGUAAUGCUAAGUUAGUAGUAACCCAAAUUUAGCAUAUGCAUACAUACAUAAUAACAAUAAAGUGAAGAAGAAACAUUCAACUAUUAUAGAAGCAAGACAUGGGCUCAGUAUCGGCUUGAGAUUAUAAGGUAGAAUUGGUUUCAGUGCGUUCAUAAGACCACAAAAGAUAACCACCUGAUAUGAAAAUUGACACAAAAAACGCAGCCACUCGACAUGGAAGUUUGAUACCACAAGCGUAACAAAGGAGACACAACUACAAAGCCAGAACUACUAAGCAUACUAAUAAGUGGCUUCACUCAACUGCCUUGUCGAUCAACUUCAUAGGCGUCACUUCAUACUAAUAAGUGACUCCACUCAACUGCCUUGUCGAUGAUCUUCAUAAGCACCACUUCACAUGAACGUGUGCAUGUCCCAACAAUGUGGUAAAGAAGGUAAUGAUCAAAUGAUAUGAUGCGUUAGUAGGAAACAUGGUUUAGCAUACAUAUUCAAUAGGACAAUGAUUUUUUCUGGUUUAAGAGAAAGAAGAAACAUCAAAUUGGUCCAACGUAUAAGAUUUCACUAUACUGUAAAUCAUUUGGUACAUCGGAAAUUACAGUACUUGUUCGGAACUAAUGAGUGUAUUAGUAUCUAUAGAAUAAUUGAUCUGCAAGCUCAUGAAAAAGAAGAUACAUUUAAUUUGUUCCAAAAGCAAGGCAGGACAAUUAAUCUGCGUCCAGUUCAGCCAAAAGAGUUUAGUUAUACGACACUGAAAGCAGGCCAAUGGCAAUGCCAAAUAGAAAAAAUUGGAUCACAUCAAGUUAAUAACAAAGCACAAGAAUUCAAGAUACCAAAAGCUUCAAUGUUAAUCUCCAUGUUCCAGAACCACACAUCCUCGACAACAAAAUAUAACUAAACAUAAAUACUUUACACAUAGACCAUUUCACUAUUUGUAGGAGAUAAACAGAACAUACGGGUAUAUGUUAGGAUAUUUAGUACCAUGACUACAUAGAAGAUUUAUGUAGAAAACAAAACUGAAAUUCUUCCAGCCCCACGUCAAACAUUCAGUCAUAAAAUAUAUUCUUUAUCAGGUUUUCAGUAUCACAAUGGGUUAAAAAUCACAUUGUCAAUGUAAAGAUGCUAUGUGCCUUUCUUUUGCUUCAUUUGAUCUGAAUAUCUCUAUGAAUACUCACAGUUCAUAACAAUCUCCAGCCUUAAAAGUGAAAGAUUUCAGUUCUCAUCCAAACCACUUCAUUAAUAACUCAAUGCGUCAAUUUUCUCUUUACUUUGACACAUUAACAAAAUGAUGACAUGCAUGAGCUGAAGUACUGAAACCUUUAUAGCUAGGGGCUAAUUUGGCAACAGACUGGACUGGAAGCUAGGUGUCAAGCUGGCCCGAGACCCCGUUCGGCUCUAUCACAGUGGCAACCUGCAAGCCAAGAUGAUGGGAGGAGCUGCAGUCCAGGAAACAGCCUCUCUCUCUCUCUCUCUCUCUCUCUCUCUCUCUCUCUCUCUCUCUACUUGCGCCGCUGCUCUAAGCCAAGAAAUAAUUGAACCUAGCAAGAUACCUGUUGCAGGAUAAGAGAAGCUAAUGAUGCAUGUGAGGCUGCAGAUUGUCACACUCACCUACAAUAAACUCCAUUCAAAUCCUUUGAAGCAUCCAAUUUCUGCAUAAACCAAAGAGGAAAAUUGCCAAAUUAGCUCACCCGCCCACCAAAAAGGAUAUAAUGUAAUCUCUUUGUUGCUGAAAUUUCAAGCAGAACAAAAAAAACUAAGAGAUGCUAUUAUUACUUUAAGAGAUAACAACAUUUUUCAUUAUUAUUUGAACAGGGCAUACCCUGUUCCAGUAAAAACAGAACUUCAAUAUAUUAAGAUUCAUUUACAUGUGAUGCUAUUGGAGGAACAACUAAAUAACUAAUCAUGAUUCUGAUCUAUCAUGACAUCUCAAUGGCCACCUCUUUCCUAUUUUGUUCUCUGUACAGUGUUUUUAUUCAUCUUUAGUUAGUCCUGGUCCUUGAUUUCUAUAGGUGUAUCACCCAAAACACACAAUCUUAUUUAACACAAUCUUAUUUAUGGCCAUCAGGACUUAGAAAUUAGCAGACAAACAUGAGAGGUAUUCAGGAAACAAAAAAAAUACUACUGCUCCAAUAACUACUAUAAACUGAAAGAAAUACAAUACUUAAUUUUAUACAUACAGAGAAGGAUUCACGGAACAAAAAAAUCUGCUCCAAUUACUAUUGUACCGAAGAAAUACCUAAUAUGCAGACAUACAUGAGAGGGAUUUAGAAACAAAAAAAAAAUACUACUGCUCCAAAUACUACUGUAAACUAAAAGAAAUACUUAAUUUGCAACAUACAUGAGAGGGAUCCAGGGACCAAGCACAAGUUGCACACCCACAUACAGGAACGUCGGACGUACAUGAGAGAGAUUCAGGGAACAAAAGAAACUCACCCUGAACACCGGCUGUUUGUUGUGUUCAUCACCUCCUUGGUACGGUCAUGGUCCUCUUCUUGGCCCGCGUCCAUCUCCCGGCACCCCCGUGCUGCUGCACUCCUGGUCCUGCAAGCAGCAAAGCUCUUUGUACGUCGUGCCACUCUGCAGUGCGCUCCGCAUCGCAGCUCAAAGACUUGCGCCAACCCGCCACUUUACCUGUGCAUGCGAGAAGAAGUCGAGAAGGAGGGGUCGAGCUGAUUUGGAGUUGGGCUACCACUGUACAAUACCGUGGGUUAUAUUUGCAUGAUGAGUUGAGGUAAGUGCAUCAAUUACCAAGUCAUUUAAGUUAAAAUAACCAUUAGACUAUCCCCGGAGUUAACUGUGUGGAAUCAUUUAACUUUACACAUUGCUACCUUUUGUAUGCACAUAAUAAGAAGCUACUUAACAAUGCAUGAACAUAGAAAAGCAUGUUUCACGAUAGGUUAGCACCAAAUAUGAAAGAUCGUGGAUGUCGCCUAGAGGGGGGGGGGGCUGAAUAGGCGUUUUAAAAUAAUUACGGUUUAGGCUUGAACAAAUGCGGAAUAAACCUAGCGGUUAAUUUGUCAAGCACAAAACCUAAAACAACUAGGCUCACCUAUGUGCACCAACAACUUAUGCUAAGCAAUAUAAGCAACUAUGUGAUAGCAAGAUAUAUGGCAAAGAACAAUAUGGCUAUCACAAAGUAAAGUGCAUAAGUAAAGGGCUCGGGUAAGAGAUAACCGAGGCACGCGGAGACGACGAUGUAUCCUGAAGUUCACACCCUUGCGGAUGCUAAUCUCCGUUUGGAGCGGUGUGGAGGCACAAUGCUCCCCAAGAAGCCACUAGGGCCACCGUUAUCUCCUCACGCCUUCGCACAAUGCAAGAUGCCGUGAUUCCACUAAGGGACCCUUGGGGGCGGUCACCGAACCCGUACAAAUGGCGACCCUUGGGGGCGGUCACCGAACCCGUACACUUUGGCAACCCUUGGGGGCGGUCACCGGUACCCGUCAAAUUGCUCGGGGCGAUCUCCACAACCUAAUUGGAGACCCCAACGCUUUCCCGGAGCUUUACACCACAAUGAUUGAGCUCCGAACACCACCAACCGUCUAGGGCGCCCAAGCACCCAAGAGGAACAAGCUCAAGGGCACCAAGCACCCAAGAGUAAUAAGCUUCUCAACUUGUAACUUCCACGUAUCACGUGGAGAACUCAAACCGAUGCACCAAAUGCAAUGGCAAGGGCACACGAAGUGCCCAAGUCCUUCUCUCUCAAAUCCCACCAAAGCAACUAAUGCUAGGGAGGAAAAUGAGAGGAAGAACGAAAGAAGAACACGAAGAACUCCAAGAUCUAGAUCCAAUGGGUUCCCCUCACUUAGAGGAGAAAGUGAUUGCUGGAAACGUGGAUCUAGAUCUCCUCUCUCUUUUUCCUCAAAAACUAGCAAGAAUCCAUGGAGGGAUUGAGAGUUAGCAAGCUCAGAGAAGGUCAACAAUGGGGGAAGAACACGAGCUCAAAGGGAUUAGGUUCAUUGGGGAAGAAGACCCCCUUUUAUAGGACCUCCCGAAUCCAAUAGUUAUGUGCUCAGGUCGUGCACAAGCGGUACUACCGCUUGGAGGAGCGGUACUACCGCUUAGCACGGUCAAAACAGCCCAACGAGAGAGAAAACACGAGUUUUUGGUCCAGAGCGGUACUACCGCUUAGGAGCCACGGUAGUACUGCUCUAGAGCGGUACUAUCGCUCAGGAGCCGCGGUAGUACCGCUCUGGAGCGGUAGUAAAAAAUUACAUCUGCUCUAGUCGCGGUAGUACCGCUGCAGCCUUUACCAAAACAGCCACAACUUUUGCAAACGGACUCCGAAUUCAACGAAACCAAGUUUGUUGGAAAGCUAACGACAUGGGCUAACACAAUAUUGAUAGAAAUAUCAAGAAUAAGCAAAUGAGAAAAGUCCCAUAAGAAAAUGGUGAGAACCCUUCAUCGGAUAAGACCGGUAAAACCUCCAACACCGAAAACAUCAUAGAAGACGCAUGCGAACUCCGUUUUCGAUGAACUCAAGCUUGUCAUCAAGAUGACCAUAAGCUCUAAGACUCACAAAGAUAACCAAACAAUAACCAAGAAACAUGAUGCAAGGAUGCAAUGGUUUGAGCUCUCUACUAACGAUACGAUCAAGUUACCAACUUGAGAGCCCCCCUUGAUAGUACGGCAAACGAUCCUAUAACUCGGUCUCCCAACUACCACCACAAGACCGGUAAAAUAGAAAACCUAUCAAGGGAAAACCUUUGCCUUGCACAUGGUCCACUUGAGCUAGAUGAUGACGAUCUUGACUCCCUCAAGUUGGACCACCUUUCUUGAUUGCGCUGGCUCGAUGAAGACUAGAUGAUUGCUCCCCCAUAGUCCACUAUGGGUGAGCCACUCUUCGGCUCAUCUUCACAAGUCCAUUGACACGACAAUGGACGGCAAGAUUCAAGCACUUGAUCUCUUCGUGAUGCUCCACUUGAACUUGCACACGGCAAUCUUGAUGAUGAUCACCACUUGAUGUCAUCCUUUCCAUGGGUUGUAUGAUAUCUUCCUCUUGAUGCAAGCCCAUGGAUACGUACCUAACCCCACAUAGAACUCUCACAUAGACCAUGGGUUAGUACACAAAGUGCAAUGGACAAUGCUUACCAUACCAUGGGAUCACUUGAUCCCUCUCGGUACAUCUUCUACGCUUUGUGAGUUGAUCAACUCGAUUCACUAUUGACUUAGUCUUGAUCAACCUUGAAUCUUUGCAACUCUCUUCAUUUGGAUGAUGUAUUGAAGGUAAACAUGAAUGAUCACACAACCUUCUUCUUCAAGACAUGCUUGUAAUAAGCUCAACACUCGCAUGACCAAUCUUUGGAUAAUUCCUUAAUAGCACCUUGGUCAACUCAUAAACUCCUUGAAACCAACACAUGGACUUCAAGAAAAGCCUAUGGACAAAUCCUUCAAAUAUAACUCAAGACAACCAUUAGUCCAUAGAGAUUGUCAUCAAUUACCAAAACCACACAUGGGGGCACCACAUGUCCUUUCAAUCUCCCCCAUUUUGGUAAUUGAUGACAAUCACUUUCAAGAGAGUUUAUACAAGGAAUUAUGCAUCACCAUUCAAUGCACCAACCAAUAAUGCAUGCGUAUGAGAUGCAAAUGCUAAGGAAACAAACACCAAAGCUACUCCACAAAACUCUCUGAAACUUCUCCCCCAUUGGCAUCGAUUGCCAAAAUGGGCAAAAAUCUUAGAAGGCCAAUAUAAAUUGUGGUCCUCCAUAAAUUGUGUAUUUCUUAACAAGAGAGUGGAAUGCAAUACACAUAUCCAACUGCCAAUACUUGGAGGAAGACAAACUAUAUUGAUGCCCAAAGAUUGCAACAGAAAGAUAUGCCACAAAGACAUAACAAAGAGAGACACAAGCAAUUAGAAGAUACCAAUUGAAGCAAGCAAUCAAUGGAUAUCAAUUGAACCGACUAGACCAAUGAUCCUACAUGCCACAAGAAUAAAGAUAUUAUGAAAAGCGCAAAGGAGUGUUCUAAAAAAACUAGAGAAGCUCCCCAUGAUUUGUGCACACAUAAGAAUUUUUGUAUUUGAAUACAAAGUGCACAAAAUAGGAUCAUAGCUCCCCCAAAAUCAAUAGAAACUCACAUCCAGUGCAAGUGAGCAUAUAGGAAAUAAAGCCUAGCGCUUGCAACAAGCACAUGGUUGAGCAACAUGUAAAAGAGGCAACUUAAGAAUAGGCUCAACCAAAAUGAUGUGUGUGAGUCAUGGAGAAGCACUUGAGAAGACUAAGAUUAGGAUGAGCAUUAAGCAUCAACAUAGUCUUGAAAGAAUGAGGCACACAGUGCAAGGCCUAUCAUUCCCACACACAACUGGCAAAUGGGUUCACAAGCUUACUAAUAAGCAAAAGAGAACCUAUGCUUGUGACAACCCGUGGUGAAGAUAGACGAGGGGAGGCUCAUCAAGACGAGGGAUACCAAUUAAGAUGGCAAAAACCUCAUAAAGAUAAGCAAGAGGAAAAUAAUCUUCACCACACAAGAGUGCAACAAGAUGCAACGAUAGAGGACACGCACUCAAGGCAAAAGCUUUCACGGAGCCACCAAAGAAAUAACAUAAGAAAGACAAGGUGGACGUGAAAGAAAAGAUAUCAACUAGAGAUGUAAUUUCUCUCAAGUGUAUAAGGUUCUAUGUAGACGAAAUCAUGAUGAUAUAUAUAUCUACAAAGAAGGAUGUACACCCGAAAUAGUUACAACACGAAGGAACAAGAUAUCCACAAGGAAGUCAUAAAUAUACCAAUAAGAUAUUUGCUUGAAAGCAUAGCACUUGGCUAGAUAUGGUCUUAUUGUAUAUAAAUGAAGUCCAAACACACAUCCAUCAAAGGCAUCACAACUAGCAACAAGAGAUCAUCGUUGGGAUGCUUUGAGAAAGGAAACAAGUAUCACAAGAUAUGAAAUGAAUAUCAUGCCAAGAUGCAACCUACGAGAAAGCAUGAAUAGAUACUUGUUACCAAGAUAUCAUUGGAAGGAUGUAGUAGAUACCAAUUGAAGGUAGAUAGUAGUUCAUUGAUCAUCCUAGCUUGACUCCAAUAUGCACAUGGUGACAACACCUUCCUUGUGAGUGAGCCGAGCAUCCAAUGCAUCUUCAAAUGUUCCUAGAAGAACAACACAAACUAAACGGUACCCAAACUCAUUGGGACCAAAUAGUUAGAAAAACCAAUACAUAGGACAAACUCCACAUAAAUAUGUGCAUAUAGAUAUGAAAAUGAAUUUCAUACACAUCUCAUCCGAUUUGAGACUUGGUGGAGACCCCCUAUAUUUGAGUCAAAGAAAGAAAGCAUGCCAAAAAAAUACAUGAAGUAAACAUGCAUGCUCAAGACUUUCAAAACCCGAAACCUAAAGAGAAAGAAAUGCCAAGUGAAAAGGAUACCAAAUGGAGAAAUCAUCACUUGGAAGAUAUUAUUAAAGAUACAUCAAGGAAUGAGAUAUCCAUUGAUACACACUAAACUAAAGAUGUCAAACUCCCAAAGAUAGGAUGGUUCCAAACAAACCAAGCUCUCAACAAAGUUUCAUGAUGGCAAAAAGUACCAAAAAUAAAUGGAUUGCCUUCCACCAAAACACACUUGAUAAGGAUCACAAGAAGAGUGUUCUAAAGAAAAUAGGAUAGCUCCCCCACGAGUUGUGCAUUAUAUAGGAUUUGCAUUUGAAUACAAAAUGCACAAUGUGGGAUCACCACUUUCACUAUAUAUAGAAAACACUAGACAAGAACAAGAAAUAAACAAGAUCCACAAGUGGCCGGGAAGACACGGGGAGUUGACACAAACCUUGGCAAGAGAAAAGGAAAACCAAAAGCCAAAGUAAAGAUGAUCAACAAAUUCUACCACACAUAAGUGACUAUCAAUUGUCAAAAUACAAGAAGUAUUUGGAAAUAAUUUCCGGUGGUAGAUAACAAGGACAUCCAACAUCAUCUUCACAACAAACACAAGCAAAUUGCAACUUGUAGAGCUAACAUGCCACCUAGGAACAAGAUAAUCUACAAUAUCAAUUCUAGGUGACAAUAUCUCAAAUGUACACAUUUUCUAGGCUUGUAAUAUGCACUUAGCAUAUUACUCCCCCAUAAUGUGAUACCAAUAAGAACUUAACAAGAGGCAAUAAGAGGAACAAACAAGAGAUAAUUAAUGGACUAUUUAGAAUUUGAAUUUCUCAUGAGAGAUAUACCACCUAGCGACUAGAUAAUCUUGUAAUAUCAAUACUAGAUGGUAUUCCUCAUGUACACACAUUUAUAGGAUUGUGAGGUGCACAAAGCACAUCACUCCCCCAAAAUGGGAUGUUCCAUUAAUCUCUCACACCAGCCAACUAGGAUACAAACAAGAAGCAUAAAGGCUCAACGCACGACACACACGUACAUGAUGUGCAAACCAACACACACAUACUUGAUUGCUCAAGAUAAGGAAGUUGGAAUCACAACAUAUACAAACACAUGCAAGGAACAAAACCAAAACAUGCAAGGGGGCAAGUAACUUUCAAGGUAGACAAUUCAAGUACAAGUUACCGCAAGGAGGCACAUUGGAUAUAAGAUAGAAACUUAAUGAUCCAAUUGACUUGGCUUGAGACAAAGAGAAUGAUGAAGUCCCCUUAAUUCUUCAUAAUGUAGCCAAGUCUCCAAUGCCCUCCAACAACACCUAUUGAUCAAGUUUGAGCUUGUUGGUCCCCAACCAAGUUGGGUCCUAAGAGGUUAGUCACAAUAGGUUUGGCUACCCAAAUAGUUCUUUGCUUGACACCACUUUGAGUACCAACAGACUUGGCAAACACAUUGCCAACCUUAUCCUUACCAAGAGAAUAGAUAUCAUCAAUAAUAAUUGGGUUGGAUAAGUUACCACUAGUGCAUGAAGAAGCGACGUGACCUUUCUCAUGACAUAAGUAGCAACGUCUACUCUUCACUUUCUUCUCACUUGAUUUCUCAAUUUGAGAAGCAUUAACUUGAGUCUUCUUGGGAAGAGGCCUUUCUUCAACUUGAUGUUGAGCAUGAGAUUGAACUUGUGCCCUCUUCCCUUGUUGCUUGACACUAAUGGCCUUCUUCUUCAAUGGGCAAGAUCUAACAUGAUGCCCUUCGACUUUGCACUUGAAGCAAACAAUCUUGGCCGAAUUCUUGACUUGUUCUUGGCCCUUCUUCUUGUUCAACUUGGACUUCUUCUUCUUGUUGGAGUUGAAUCCAAGUCCACCUUUGUAAUUGGGGGAUUUUUGCACACUCAAGAUAUUGUUGAGUGUGGCCUUCCCUUCAUGACACUUUUCCAAGUCUUUCUUCAAAGAAGUGACUUGGGCCUUGAGCUCUUUGAUUUCCUCUACAUGGUUAGUCUCAACACAAGUACUAGAGGAGGUAUAAGCUUCAUCAUUAGAGCAACAAGGCAAGGAAAGCAAUUCAUCACAAGAUGUACCAAUAUUGUGAGUAGAUGAAUUACAAGGACUAGCACAAGGCAAUAUACUAUUUUGACUAGAAGUAGUGCUAGUAUCCACAUGAGGCUCACUAGAUGUUUCCUUAGCAAUCAUGGCCUCAUGAGCUAUCUUUAGCACACUAUGGGAUACUAGAAGAUCAUCAUGAGAGCUUGAGAGCUGUUCAUGACUUUCUUCCAAUUUCCCAUAAUUGCUAGAUAGCACCUCAAGUUGAGCCCGUAGCUCAACAUUCUCCUUCAAAAUGGAUGCUUCACAAGUAAUAGAAUUAGUAGCACAAGCAUCAUCAUUAAGAACAAGAGGAUAAGGCAACUUGGCAAGCUCUUUUAAAUAAGAAGCUUCAAGUUGGGCAUGAGACUCAGUGAGUUUGAUGAGCUCACCCUUGAUGACCCUUGAGCCAUUUUCGAGGUGCUCAAAAUCCUCAAGGAGUCUAGCAUGAGAAACUUCAAGCUUAGCAUUUUUAGUUUUGAAAUCGUUGGCCACCUCAAGAGCUCUAUCAUGAGAUUCCCUCACUCUAGAUAAUUCUAGAGCAAAAGUCUCCUCAAGAGAUUCGGAGGUGGUUUGUUCAUGUUCAAGAGCUUGAGAUAGCUAUCUCAUUUGCGUAAUCAUGACCAUGAGCUUCCAUUUUCUCAAUGGUGACCUCAUGCUCCUCGAGAUGAGAUUCCAACUCCUCAAUAUAUUUCUUGCCCUCAAUGGCAAUGGACAUAAUUUCCAUGAAGUUGGAACGAGCAAUUUUAUUUUUAUGAAGAGCUUUAAAAAACAUCUCCCCCUUAGUUUUUAAGGAGGCAACAUUAUCAUUCUCUUCAUCAUUAUCCUCAUCAUCAUUAGCAUCAACAUCAUCAUCAAGAGACAUAUUGGGGUACAAAGUAGGAUAUACCUUUGACGCCUUAGCCAUAAGGCAAAAAGCAAUAGAUGAUGAUGUAGGAUCCCUUGAGGCACCAUUAAACACCACAUCUUGUUCCAUGGAGUGUUCGGUUUCCUCUACAUUGUUAGCACAACAAUUCGAGGAAAUAGAUGAAUUUUUAUCAUGGCAACAAGACAUAGCAAGCAUAUCAUCAUGAGAUUUAGUCAAGCAAUUUCUACAUGAUAUGCAAGGACUAUCAACACAAGCAUGUGAAACAUUUGGAGUGCUCGAAGUGUUAAAGUCCAAAAAAGGAGCGUUGCAAUAAUAUAGUGAUGAAGGAUCAUCCACAAUAAGCAUACUAUCACCAUUGCAAUGACCAACACUACUCACCAUAUCAUUACCUUGUGGCAAACCACAUGUAGGUGAAGUAGAAGAAGUUGAGAAGACUAUACGACCAGAGGUGGAGGGGGAACAAUCAUCCCCACAAAUAUUGGACACACCAUAUUUAUCUUGAAGCUUUGUCCACAACUCAUGAGCAUCCUGGAACGACAUGAGUUGAAAAAUAACUACAUUGCUCAAAGCAUCAAAAAGCACAUUAGAAGCUUGAGCAUUGAGAUAAGAGUUUUUCUCAUCCUCUAAAGAUAAUCUUUGGGGAUCCUUUGGGGGAUAAAAACCCAUAUCUACAAUUUGCUCUAAAUUUGGGUCCAUGACCCUAAAGAGAUUAAGCAUGCGAAUUACCCAAUCAUCAAAAUUUGUGCCAUCGAAACUAAGAGUGUCAGAGAAUCCUAAUCCCCUAGUUGACAUCUUUACUCUCUAGGCGGUUAAGCCUAACAAAGAGAGACGAGGCUCUGAUACCAAUUGAAAGAUCAUGGAUGUCGCCUAGAGGGGAGGGGGGUGAAUAGGCGUUUUAAAAUAAUUACGGUUUAGGCUUGAACAAAUGCGGAAUAAACCUAGCGGUUAAUUUGUCAAGCACAAAACCUAAAACAACUAGGCUCACCUAUGUGCACCAACAACUUAUGCUAAGCAAUAUAAGCAACUAUGUGAUAGCAAGAUAUAUGACAAAGAACAAUAUGGCUGUCACAAAGUAAAGUGCAUAAGUAAAGGGCUCGGGUAAGAGAUAACCGAGGCACGCGGAGACGAUGAUGUAUCCCGAAGUUCACACCCUUGCGGAUGCUAAUCUCCAUUUGGAGCGGUGUGGAGGCACAAUGCUCCCCAAGAAGCCACUAGGGACACCGUAAUCUCCUCACGCCCUCGCACAAUGCAAGAUGCCGUGAUUCCACUAAGGGACCCUUGAGGGCGGUCACCGAACCCGUACAAAUGGCGACCCUUGGGGGCGGUCACCGAACCCGUACACUUUGGAAACCCUUGGGGGCGGUCACCGGUACCCGUCAAAUUGCUCGGGGCAAUCUCCACAACCUAAUUGGAGACCCCAACGCUUGCCCGGAGCUUUACACCACAAUGAUUGAGCUCCGAACACCACCAACCGUCAAGGGCGCCCAAGCACCCAAGAGGAACAAGCUCAAGGGCACCAAGCACCCAAGAGUAAUAAGCUUCUCAACUUGUAACUUCCACGUAUCACGUGGAGAACUCAAACCGAUGCACCAAAUGCAAUGACAAGGGCACACGAAGUGCCAAUUCCUUCUCUCCCAAAUCCCACCAAAGCAACUAAUGCUCGGGAGGAAAAUGAGAGGAAGAACGAAAGAAGAACACGAAGAACUCCAAGAUCUAGAUCCAAUGGGUUCCCCUCACUUAGAGGAGAAAGUGAUUGGUGGAAACGUGGAUCUAGAUCUCCUCUCUCUUUUCCCUCAAAAACUAGCAAGAAUCCAUGGAGGGAUUGAGAGUUAGCAAGCUCGGAGAAGGUCAACAAUGGGGGAAGAACACGAGCUCAAAGGGAUUAGGUUCAUUGGGGAAGAAGACCCCCUUUUAUAGGACCUCCCGAAUCCAACCGUUAUGUGCUCAGGUCGUGCACAAGCGGUACUACCGCUUGGAGGAGCGGUACUACCGCUUAGCACGGUCAAAACAGCCCAACGAGAGAGAAAACACGAGUUUUUGGUCCAGAGCGGUACUACCGCUUAGGAGCCACGGUAGUACUGCUCUAGAGCGGUACUACCGCUCAGGAGCGCGGUAGUACCGCUCUGGAACGGUAGUAAAAAAUUACAUCUGCUCUAGUCGCGGUAGUACCGCUGCAGCCUUUACCAAAACAACCACAACUUUUGCAAACAGACCCCGAAUUCAACGAAACCAAGUUUGUUGGAAAGCUAAUGACAUGGGCUAACACAAUAUUGAUAUAAAUAUCAAGAAUAAGCAAAUGAGAAAAGUCCCAUAAGAAAAUGGUGAUAACCCUUCAUCGGAUAAGACUGGUAAAACCUCCAACACCGAAAACAUCAUAGAAGACGCAUGCGAACUCCGUUUUCGAUGAACUCAAGCUUGUCAUCAAGAUGACCAUAAGCUCUAAACUCACAAAGAUAACCAAAAAAUAACCAAGAAACAUGAUGCAAGGAUGCAAUGGUUUGAGAUCUCUACUAACGAUACGAUCAAGCUACCAACUUGAGAGCCCCCCUUGAUAGUACGGCAAACGAUCCUAUAACUCGGUCUCCCAACUACCACCACAAGACCGGUAGAAUAGAAAACCUAUCAAGGGAAAACCUUUGCCUUGCACAUGGUCCACUUGAGCUAGAUGAUGACGAUCUUGACUCCCUCAAGUUGGACCACCUUUCUUGAUUGCGUUGGCUCGAUGAAGACUAGAUGAUUGCUCCCCCAUAGUCCACUAUGGGUGAGCCACUCUUCGGCUCAUCUUCACAAGUCCAUUGACACGACAAUGGACGGCAAGAUUCAAGCACUUGAUCUCUUCGUGAUGCUCCACUUGAACUUGCACACGGCAAUCUUGAUGACGAUCACCACUUGAUGUCAUCCUUUCCAUGGGUUGUAUGAUAUCUUCCUCUUGAUGCAAGCCCAUGGAUACGUACCUAACCCCACAUAGAACUCUCACAUAGACCAUGGGUUAGUACACAAAGUGCAAUGGAUAAUGCUUACCAUACCAUGGGAUCACUUGAUCCCUCUCGGUACAUCUUCUACGCUUUGUGAGUUGAUCAACUUGAUUCACUGUUGACUUAGUCUUGAUCAACCUUGAAUCUUUGCAACUCUAUUCAUUUGGAUGAUGUAUUGAAGGUAAACAUGAAUGAUCACACAACCUUCUUCUUCAAGACAUGCUUGCAAUAAGCUCAACACUCGCAUGACCAAUCUUUGGAUAAUUCCUUAAUAGCACUUUGGUCAACUCAUAAACUCCUUGAAACCAACACAUGGACUUCAAGAAAAGCCUAUGGACAAAUCCUUCAAAUAUAACUCAAGACAACCAUUAGUCCAUAGAGAUUGUCAUCAAUUACCAAAACCACACAUGGGGGCGCCACAUGUCCUUUCAAAAUAUCUUAGGCAUAGAAGAUACGACGACACGUCGCUUAAAGACAAUUUACAACUAUGCAUAGAUAACUUUAAGUUUUAGGCAUAACGUAGACGUUUAGGCAUAGAAGAUAUGACAACACGUUGCUUACAGACGUUUUAGGCAUAGAAGAUACGGCAACACGUCGCUUACAGACAAUUUACAACAUGGGUCUUGCCGUCCUCAUGAACAACGUGUUCAUACUGAGCCGGUGAUAGUCCAAGGUGUGCCAGGAGCAUGCCAAGAACUGCCCUGUGUGGGAUCCUGAACACUCGCUGGGUGUCCUGCAGUUCCCAAUAACAUAAAACAUAAGGCCUUGGGGAAUUGCCCAAAACAAUUGCAUUACAACAUGGGAAAGGAAUCAGAGAAAUCAGUUGCGGAUAAAAGCAACCAUAGUGAUAAAAAAGAUAUGCCAAGCCUAUCGUUUAAUCAGGAUUUUGUUUAGGAUGUGCCAAGCAAUAAAAAAUAGACUAUGAAUCAGGAUUUUGUUGCAAACAGACUGAAUGAUGGAAUGAGAAGAGGAAUAUAUUCAUGAAAUAAAGCAAGAGAGAUAAAGUUGAAAGGAAAUAAGUGCAGACACUAGUGCAGAACCGGGCUUUAGUGCCGGUUCGUGACGGCCUUUAGUGCCGGUUGGCGAACCGGCACUAAAGAGUGGGGACUAAAGCCCCCCCCUUUAGUACCGGUUCGUCACGAACCGGCGCUAAAGUGCAAACACGUGGCACGAUCCAGGCCCGUAUGCGUGUAGGACAUUAGUACCGGUUGGUAACACCAACCGGUACUAAAUGUUUGGGUGUUUUUUCAAUUUUUGCUUUAAUUUUGUGUUUUCAAUUUGGCUUUAUUUUCCAUUUAAUUCUUUUUUGUUUGCUGGUAUUUCACGAUAUUACAAAUUGUACACGUUAUGCAUAUAUAUUAAAUAGAUUUUCUCGUACGUAGAACCGCAUAUAUAAUAUAUAUAUAUAUAUAUAUAUAUAUAUAUAUCAUCGAAUGUCUCACAGCCAACACCAUUAACUAUUCACACAUACACAUGUAUAUACAUAUACAAUUUCUCCUACAUGUUGCCUUGGUGCCUUCGGAGCACGAUGACAAGUGGUUCAUGGGGGCGGUAGCGGAUAAUAGUAUUCUCCUUUUGGAUCUAUGACCUGGUCGAGCAAAAAUCCGGCUAUUUCCUCUUGAAGUGCUUGUAUGCGGUCCGAUGGUAGGAGCUUAUCCCGCACCGAUCUGAACUCUUAAGAAGGAGAUCAAUAUGCAUGUGUGUUAGUUGUGUGACUAGAUAUCGAUAAUGGUGUGAAUAGUGUUCUGACAAAAACGUACCCAGUCCUGUCUAUCAGAUCUGCUCCUUUCGCAUGUCAUCAUGCGAAUGUUCUCGCAAACGUAGUAUGCACACAGAUUAUUCCCUGGCGCCUGCCUCAGGGCCUUUACGAGAAUGGAAUUGAAUCAGAUAAUGAUUAAUCAAGCAUGAUAAUUAAUUAAUGAUAUUGAAACUAGAAUUAAAGAGAUGGUAGCUAGCUAGUACUACUUAAUUACUUACCUUGGGUCGAUGCCAAAACAACUUUUUUGGCCACGUGCCUGGAGUCACCUUGAUGAACUUUGCCCAUGCCCUACCCGCCGGUAAAGAAAAUUAAUAAAGGGGUUAUUAAAUAGUUCAUAUCAGGAACUAAUAGUUAAUAAUGAUUGAAAUUACCUGUUGACUAUCCCCUUCAUGGUGGUGUAGUCUUUAUCUUCUUUAGUUAGUGAGUCCAGUAAUUCAACUUUUCCUUCCUCAACUUUAAUGUCUAACAAGACUCAGUGCCAACAGCAUAUGCACACAUUUGCAUGUCUUAAUUAAGCGGGCAUGUGCAUAAAAUUAAUCAACUACCGUAAACCGUAUACACUUAAUUAUUAACAUCUAGCUAGCUAGUAAGCAAAAACAGAAUUUGUAGUACAAGAUAGUGUGACUCACGGGAAGUUGUAAGGAAGUAGUAUAUCUUUAUUGGUAUUGAGGCGCUUCAAGAACUCUAGCAUGCUUUCCUCUACUUCAGCUUGACAAUGUUCAAUCUGCCAUAUGUCCUCAUUAAUGGUAUUUGGGUCAAUGAACCCAACGCCAUAGUGUCCAGAUUUUUUCAUUUCAUACAUCUUCAUCCUGUAUAUAAUACCACAGAAAAAGAAUAUAGUUAGGAUAAUUACAUGUAAUGAUUGAUCAAAAUUAUCACUACAUAACUAGCUUGAGACUUAAAUUACAGAAAGAAAUCACUUACAGACAAUAGCAACUGACGAUAGACUUAUCGAGUGCGUCUUGAUUAAAUAACUGAAAUAGUUCUGGAUACUCAAUGGCCAGAGCUUUCUCAUGGUAAUAAUGCUCAUGCUUGACAUUCACCAUGAGGGACUCUCGAUUGGAAAUCUUGGUAAUGUUCAUGUACCAUUGAUGCAAUUGAUACAUUCUCGUUGGGAGGUCCUUGACCUUGUCUGGAUGGACCAAAGGUUUGCCCUGGACAUAUUGCCAUGUUAUUUCCGAUUCUUUAAGCGCAGGCAUGGGCUCGAUUUUGAGGAGUUGUCCAACAGAGAUAUUGAGCAUUUGAGCCUGCAUUAUAUGAUCCUCUGUUAUUACCACAUCGCCAUGCUGGAGAACGCUAACGGUUUGCCCACAAUAAUAUUUGGCGCGCGUACUACUCCUCUCAUGUGUUGUUGGCACAACAAGCGGGGGGAUCGCUUGCGCCGCCUGUUCUCCCAACUGGGGAACGGUUUUCCCACAUUUUUUGCCAGCUGCUUGUUGGCUCAAGCUUGAGCUCGCUUCCUUCUGUAGUCGUGCUCGAUGUGCCUUCCUGAUUUGGCGCUCAUAGUCCGAGUCAACAGGCUUGGGAGCUAGUUCUCUAGCCAUACGAAUGAAGUGGUCAAUUACUUUCUCAGGCACUUUCUCCUUUGGCGGCGGUGCCGGUUUCGGUCCAAAAUGGGCAUCCACUUGGGCUUGCACUAUGGCUGUGUUUUGCUCCUUAGUCAUGUCGUAAGGCCUCUGAGGAAGAGGAGCGAGGCUUGGACCAUAUUUAUAUCGCUUGCCUUCGCCUGUACUUCCUGAACUACCUCGACUCGUACCACUACGCACCAAAUCUGCGGGAUGUCUCUUCUGCGAUUGCUGAGACGGCGGAGACGGCUGACGUGGAGUUGGACCAGGAGAAGUGGCCUGACGAUGUGCCGAACUUGAAGCAGGAGGUGUGGCCUGACAUGGUGCCGAACUUGCAACCGGAGAAGUGGCAUGACGCUGUGCCGGGCUUGAAACCAGAGGAGUUAGCUCACGCGUUCGGAGACUUGGAGGAGGUGGCGGACUUCGAGGAGGAGUCGUCUCACGUGUUCGUGGACUUGGAGGAGCGGGAGUCUGCUGACUCGGUGGCGGACUUCGAGGAGUCGGAAGACGACGCGGUGUCGGUGGACUUCGAAAGAUGAUGCAAUCCUUUCUCCAUAGGAUGAUACAAUGUAUGGCCUCUCCCAGUGUGCGCUCGUCUUCACCUCCAGGAAUGUCAAGCAUUAGCCCCGAAUAUGGGUCCACCACUUCAUCAACCAUGACACGAGCAUAGCCUUCUGGAAUCGGGAUGCAAUGGUAGGUUGCUUCGGGGGUAACUGGAAAAGCAACGCCGUCCGCCACCUUCAUGGAUAUGUUCUUCAUUUUGGAGUGUAGCUCGCAGUUAGUGUUCUCUAUGAUGUCAUCCGCAGGGUAUUUAUCCACCAGUGUGUCACCCGGGGCAGAACCAACGCUGCUUCUCGGCAUGGAUGGGACGGUGCUAUCCAAUGCUGGACGAUCAUCCGCUUGCUGCUGCCGCUGCUGAGACCCCCUUUCCUGGCUAAUUGAGUCGAUUUGCUAUUGCUGCUGCCGGAAUUUGAGUGCCAGGUCCGCGUGCCUUGCUUCUAGGCCUUGAAGGCGUUCUGCGUCCUUGUGACGCCCGGAUAAUUAAGCUACAGUAAUCCCGGGCUAACGGUGCCACGUCACCACGGUUACUGUUGUUAACCUUGCGAUGAUUCGAAACCGUUUCAAAAUUCAAAUUCAAAUUAAUGUCAGUAAUAAAAGUUUUCAAAAAUUAAAAUAAAAAUGUUCGGAUUGUACUAAAUAUUACAUAGAUAAUUAUGGUGUAGAAGGCACAGUUUUAUAAAAUACAUAAAUAUUUUAAAUUGAAUUAAAACAGAAGAGAAAAUAAAUAAAAGGAAGAAAAUACAAAAGAGACAAACAAAAAAAAAGGAAAAGGAACCCCCAUCUGGGCCUCGGCCCAGCAGGCCGACAGACUGCCAGGCCGGCCCACCCCGGUCCCCCUUAUCCCCCACGCGACCAAACCCUAAACCGCUACCACACCCACUCCCCCUCNNNNNNNNNNNNNNNNNNNNNNNNNNNNNNNNNNNNNNNNNNNNNNNNNNNNNNNNNNNNNNNNNNNNNNNNNNNNNNNNNNNNNNNNNNNNNNNNNNNNNNNNNNNNNNNNNNNNNNNNNNNNNNNNNNNNNNNNNNNNNNNNNNNNNNNNNNNNNNNNNNNNNNNNNNNNNNNNNNNNNNNNNNNNNNNNNNNNNNNNNNNNNNNNNNNNNNNNNNNNNNNNNNNNNNNNNNNNNNNNNNNNNNNNNNNNNNNNNNNNNNNNNNNNNNNNNNNNNNNNNNNNNNNNNNNNNNNNNNNNNNNNNNNNNNNNNNNNNNNNNNNNNNNNNNNNNNNNNNNNNNNNNNNNNNNNNNNNNNNNNNNNNNNNNNNNNNNNNNNNNNNNNNNNNNNNNNNNNNNNNNNNNNNNNNNNNNNNNNNNNNNNNNNNNNNNNNNNNNNNNNNNNNNNNNNNNNNNNNNNNNNNNNNNNNNNNNNNNNNNNNNNNNNNNNNNNNNNNNNNNNNNNNNNNNNNNNNNNNNNNNNNNNNNNNNNNNNNNNNNNNNNNNNNNNNNNNNNNNNNNNNNNNNNNNNNNNNNNNNNNNNNNNNNNNNNNNNNNNNNNNNNNNNNNNNNNNNNNNNNNNNNNNNNNNNNNNNNNNNNNNNNNNNNNNNNNNNNNNNNNNNNNNNNNNNNNNNNNNNNNNNNNNNNNNNNNNNNNNNNNNNNNNNNNNNNNNNNNNNNNNNNNNNNNNNNNNNNNNNNNNNNNNNNNNNNNNNNNNNNNNNNNNNNNNNNNNNNNNNNNNNNNNNNNNNNNNNNNNNNNNNNNNNNNNNNNNNNNNNNNNNNNNNNNNNNNNNNNNNNNNNNNNNNNNNNNNNNNNNNNNNNNNNNNNNNNNNNNNNNNNNNNNNNNNNNNNNNNNNNNNNNNNNNNNNNNNNNNNNNNNNNNNNNNNNNNNNNNNNNNNNNNNNNNNNNNNNNNNNNNNNGCCAGCGCCCUGCGCCCGCUGCCCGCACGCCCAUUCGGGCCACGCCCGAUAGGCCCCUGGGGCCUAUGACAGAUGGGCCCCAUGCCCAUAACGUUAAAAAAAAAGGAAUUAAAAAUAAAAAUAAAAAAUAAAAAAUGAUUUAAUAAAAAUAAUUAUUAAUUAAUUAAUUAUCUAAUGAAUUAUUUAAGUUAAUUAAUCCGGUUUAAUUAAUUUAAUUAACUAGUUAGGUUAAUUAAAUAGUAAUUAAAUUAACUAAUCUGUAAUUAACCUAAACAGAGAAUGACAGGUGGGUCCCACCGGACCCACAUGUCAGGUUGACCAAGUCAACUCUGUUGACUCCUGACGUCAGCAUGACAUCAUGCUGACAUCAUAAAUCCAUUUUUCGAAUUAAUUAAAUAAUUAAUUAAAUUCCAGAAAUUAAUAAAAUCUUUAGAAAAUCAUAUCUUUUAAUCCGUAACUCGGAUUAAAUUAUUUUCAACAUGAAAGUUGCUCAGAACAACGAGACGAAUCCGGGUACGCAGCCCGUUCGUCCACCACACCCCCCUAACCUAUCGAACUCGCAACUUUCCCCCUCCGGCUCCUCUGCCCGAAAACGCGAAACACUGGGAAUACUUUCCCGGAUGCUUUCCCCCUUCGUCGGUAUCACCUACUACCGCGUUCGGGCACACCUAGCACCGCGUAUUGCCUCAUUUUGUUUGUGAUACUUUGUUGGCUAUGUAUUUACUGUUUCUUCCCCCCUCUUCUUCCCCGGUAGACCCCGAGACCGGCGCUGAUGCCACCGAGUACGAGUACAUCGACGACGACCCCUCUCUCUUGCCAGAGCAACCAGGCAAGCCCCCCCCCUUGAUCACCAGAUAUCGCCUAUUCUCCUCUAUACUGCUUGCAUUAGAGUAGUGCAGCAUGUUACUGCUUUCCGUUAAUCCUAUUCUGAUGCAUAGCCUGUCAUUGUUGCUACAGUCAUUGAUACCUUACCCGCAAUCCUAAAUGCUUAGUAUAGGAUGCUAGUUUAUCAUCAUUGGCCCUAUAUUCUUGUCAGUCUGCCUCGCUAUACUAUUGGUCCGUGAUCACUCGGGAGGUGAUCACGGGUAUAUACUUUACAUACAUACAUACUAUACAGAUGGUGACUAAAGUCGGGUCAGCUCAAAGAGUACCCGCGAGUGAUUCACGGAUUGGGGGCUGAAAGGACCUUUGUCCCGACGGCCCUCUGUGUGGAUCUUUGGGGCGGAGCGACAGGGCAGGUUGAGACCGCCUAGGAGAGAGGUGGGCCUGGCCCUGUUCGGCGUUCGCGGAUACUUAACACGCUUAACGAGAUCUUGGUAUUUGAUCUGAGUUGGCUACGAGCCUAUACGCACUAACCAUUUACGCGGGAGUAGUUAUGGGUAUCUCGACGUCGUGGUAUCAGCCGAAGCACUUCGUGACGCCAGCGACUGAGUGACGCGCGCCGGAUUGGAACGUAAGCCUGCUCUUGUAUUAAGGGGGCUAGUUCUGCUUUCGGCCGCGUACGCAACAUGCAGGUGUGGUCUGGGCGAUGGGCCCAGACCCUUGUGCGCUUAGGUUUAGACCGGCGUGCUGGCCUCUCUGUUGAGCCUAGGUGGGGCUGCGACGUGUUGAUCUUUUGCGGCCGGGCAUGACCCGGGAAAGUGUGUCCGGCCAAAUGGGAUCAAGCGUGUUGGGUAAGUUGGUGCACCCCUGCAGGGAAGUUAAUCUAUUCGAAUAGCCGUGAUCUUCGGUAACAGGACGACUUGGAGUUGUACCUUGACCUUAUGACAACUAGAACCGGAUACUUAAUAAAACACACCCUUCCAAGUGCCAGAUACAACCGGUGGUCGCUCUCUCUCAGGGAUACGAGGAGGGGAUCACCGGGUAGGAUUAUUGCUAUGUGAUGUUGCUUGGAGGACUUCAACCUACCCUCUUCUACCUGUUGCAAGACGAAGGUGACCAGAAGCGUAGUCUUCGAUAAGACUAGCUAUCCCCCUCUUAUUCUGGCAUUCUGCAGUUCAGUCCACUGAUAUGGCCCUUUACACAUAUAUCCAUGCAUAUGUAGUGUAGCUCCUUGCUUGCGAGUACUUUGGAUGAGUACUCACGGUUGCCUUGUUCCCCCUUUUCCCCCUAUCUCUACUCGAUUGCUGCAAUCAUACGAUGGAGCCCAGGAGCCAGAUGCCACCGUCGAUGACGACUACUACACUGGAGGCGCCUGCUACGUGCAGCCCGCUGACGACGACCAGGAGUAGUUUAGGAGGAUCCCAGGCAGGAGGCAUGCGCCUCUUUCGAUCUGUAUCCCAGUUUGUGCUAGCCUUCUUAAGGCAAACUUGUUUAACUUAUGUCUGUACUCAGAUAUUGUUGCUUCUGCUGACUCGUCUAUGAUCGAGCACUUGUAUUCGAGCCCUCGAGGCCCCUGGCUUGUAUUAUGAUGCUUGUAUGACUUAUUUAUGUUUUAGAGUUGUGUUGAGAUAUCUUCCCGUGAGUCCCUGAUCUUGAUCGUACACAUUUGCGUGCAUGAUUAGUGUAUGAUUAAAUCAGGGGCGUCACAAGUUGGUAUCAGAGCCGACUGCCUGUAGGAAUCCCCCUUCCACACUCCUUGGCCGAAGUCGAGUCUAGUCAUUGCAAAACUUUUACUAACAUGGCUGUGUGCCUUACGGGCCCACGUCGCCAUCGGGUGGUACUAGGAUCUUUCACUCCUCGACCUUUACUCUGGGACUCUGAUCUCUCUUCUAUUCGGGUUAAAUGAAUUUUGCUAAAUCUAACAUUAGGAUCUCGUUAUCACUUUCACCCGGAGAGCCCCUUAUUACUGAUGAUCGUCUGCUGCACCUGAAGACCCUGAAGAUACUUUCCGCUGUUAACCCGAGAACUUGUGUCCAUCGCGUUUGCAAUUCCCCUUCCACCGUCAACCCUUAUGGGUAACUACUUACAGUUGUUAUUCUUAUAUCAUCCCCAGUUGGUCUUGUUAUUACAAGAUACCCUGAAAAACUCAUCGUGGUUUCGAUAAUCCCUUGAGCUUACUGCCUUGCUGUUCUUGUCACUUGAAUACCCCUACGGUUAAUUCUUGCAUUUAUCGAGUAUCCGCUCAUCCCCCAGUUGUUCAUGUGUUACACAAAAGUCUUCGAAAUACCACCCGAUAUUCCGAAAAUCCUCAGCAACCUAUUGCUCUGGAAUUUCUUGUUUGCUUUCAUUAUGAUUAAUCCCAUAAGUAUAGAAAUCUUAUUGACAUUCCUUGUCAUUAUCAUUUUGAGUCUGUUGACUCAAUAUGUUGCGAAUGCACGCAAUCAUCAGUUGAUCCUUUUAAAUUAUCUCUCCGGCUCAGACGUCUUUCAAACAUGAGCUGGUUCUCGACCAAACUAUCUGUCAUCGAUUGUGCCUCUGGUAUAUUCAAUUGAUACAUCCUUGAUCAGAACGUCUGUCUCUGAUCCUUUGUUUUGGAAAUCAUAAUUCCUUUGCAUUUUAGCUUUGAAUUAUUCAGAUGAUUCCAUAACCUGUUGCAUUCGAAUUCCUUCCUCUUCUGGUUGAGUAUCGAUACACACAUCAGAUCCUUUGUGGACCAUCAAGUCCUGUGUUGGAUUGUUAUCCGACAGUGUCCUUCACAUUUGAUCACUUUGUGAGUUCUUCCCCUGAUACAUGAUGCCCUUGUUAAGUUGUAUCCUCUGCUUGGCCAACCAUGCUCUGCUUUCGGGCUUGUGUUAUUUACUCUUGAAACUUGUGGUAUAUGUUUCUAAGAAGCCCCCAUGGGUUGAACAUGUGCCUUCUCUAAACCGUGUGAACCCGAAAGUUUUCACGAGUCAUACUCUUCUGGUGCUUCACCAGACAAAAUUUCAACACUGCAACUUCAUCGAACGUGAGAAGUGAAUGAAAGGUUAUGCAUUGGAGAAGUGGGAGUCGACCUUGAACUUGUGUUCAUGCCCAUGGACGCGAUAUAUAUCCUAUCAUGAAAGCUUCUUGUAACAAUAACUAUUUCCUUGAUAACUAACCUAUGGUAUCUGUGAAUUGAUCCCUUGCAACCGUGGUUCCGACCAUGAUUAUUCUUCUUUGAUCUCAUUUCUCGGACAAGUUAAAACAAUUGUCUUCUAUGGAUCAAUACACCAGUCCAACCUUUACUUGGAUCUUGUGUCGAGUAUUACCCCCCCCCGGUAUCUCGAGAUUAUCAUGGAACUGCAUAACUUUUUAUGAGUUCUUCAUCAAGUGCUACCUUCCCACUGAUUCCAAUUUUUCGCGGCUCUGAGUGUUGGAAAUAUGCCCUAGAGGCAAUAAUAAAAGCAUUAUUAUUAUAUUUCCUUGUUCAUGAUAAUUGUCUUUAUUCAUGCUAUAAUUGUGUUAUCCGGAAAUCAUAAUACAUGUGUGAAUAACAAACAUCAACAUGUCCCUAGUGAGCCUCUAGUUGACUAGCUCGUUGAUCAACAGAUAGUCAUGGUUUCCUGACUAUGGACACUGGAUGUCAUUGAUAACGAGAUCACAUCAUUAGGAGAAUGAUGUGAUGGACAAGACCCAAUCCUAAACAUAGCACAAGAUCGUAUAGUUCGUUUGCUAGAGUUUUCCAAUGUCAAGUAUCUUUUCCUUAGACCAUGAGAUCGUGUAACUCCCGGAUACCGUAGGAGUGCUUUGGGUAUGCCAAACGUCACAACGUAACUGGGUGACUAUAAAGGUAGACUACGGGUAUCUCCGAAAGUGUCUGUUGGGUGACAUGGAUCAAGACUGGGAUUUGUCACUCCGUAUGACGGAGAGGUAUCACUGGGCCCACUCGGUAAUGCAUCAUCAUAAUGAGCUCAGAGUGACCAAGUGUCUGGUCACGGGAUCAUGCAUUAUGGUACGAGUAAAGUGACUUGCCGGGAACGAGAUUGAACGAGGUAUUGGGAUACCGACGAUCGAAUCUCAGGCAAGUAACAUAUCGAUAGACAAAGGGAAUAGCGUACGGGGUUGAUUGAAUCCUCGACAUCGUGGUUCAUCCGAUGAGAUCAUCGUGGAGCAUGUGGGAGCCAACAUGGGUAUCCAGAUCCCGCUGUUGGUUAUUGACCGGAGAGUCGUCUCGGUCAUGUCUGCUUGUCUCCCGAACCCGUAGGGUCUACACACUUAAGGUUCGGUUACGCUAGGGUUGUAGGGAUAUGUAUAUGCAGUAACCCGAAUGUUGUUCGGAGUCCCGGAUGAGAUCCCGGACGUCACGAGGAGUUCCGGAAUGGUCCGGAGAUAAAGAUUUAUAUAUGGGAAGUCCUGUUUCGGGCAUCGGGACAAGUUUCGGGGUCAUCGGUAUUGUACCGGGACCACCGGAAGGGUCCCGGGGGUCCACCGGGUGGGUCCACCUGUCCCGGGGGGGCCACAUGGGCUGUAAGGGGGUGCGCCUUGGCCUAAUGGGCCAAGGGCACCAGCCCCACAUAGGCCCAUGCGCCUAGGGUUUAAGGGGGCAAGAGUCCUAGGAGGGUAAGGCACCUCCUAGGUGCCUUGGGGGGGGGGGGGGAGGGAAAACCCCCUUGGCCGCCGCACCCCCUAGGAGAUUGGAUCUCCUAGGGCCGGCCACCCCCCUUUUUGGCACCCCUAUAUAUAGUGGGGGAGAGGAGGGACUUCAUACCUGAACGCCUUGGCCUUUGGUUGCCUCCUUCUCCCUCCCCAACACCUCCUCCACCUCCAUAGUGCUUAGCGAAGCUCUGCCGGAGUACUGCAGCUCCAUCAACACCACGCCGUCGUGCUGCUGCUGGUGCCAUCUCCCUCAACCUCUCCUCCCUCCCUUGCUGGAUCAAGAAGGAGGAGACGUGGCUGUUCCGUACGUGUGUUGAACGCGGAGGUGCCGUCCGUUCGGCGCUGGUCAUCGGUGAUUUGGAUCACGUCGAGUACGACUACAUCAUCACCGUUCUUUUGAACGCUUCCGCUCGCGAUCUACAAAGGUAUGUAGAUGCAUCUAAUCACUCGUUGCUAGAUGAACUCCUAGAUGAUCUUGGUGAAACGAGUAGGAAAAUUUUUGUUUUCUGCAACGUUCCCCAACAGUGGCAUCAUGAGCUAGGUCUAUGCGUAGUUCUUCUUGCGUGAGUAGAACACAAUUUGUUGUGGGCGUAGAUUUGUCAACUUUCUUGCCGUUACUAGUCCUUCCUUGCUUCAGCGGUAUUGUGGGAUGAAGCGGCCCGGACCAACCUUACACGUACGCUUACGUGAGACCGGUUCCACCGACUAACAUGCACUAGUUGCAUAAGGUGGCUGGCGGGUGUCUGUCUCUCCUACUUUAGUUGGAGCGGAAUCGAUGAACAGGGUCCUUAUGAAGGGUAAAUAGAAGUUGACAAAUCACGUUGUGGCUUUAACGUAGGUAAGAAAACGUUCUUGCUAGAACCCUAAUUCAGCCACGUAAAACUUGCAACAACAAUUAGAGGACGUCUAACUUGUUUUUGCAGCAAGUGGUUUGUGAUAUGAUAUGGCCAAAGUUGUGAUGAAUGAUGAAUGAUCUAUAUGUGAUGUAUGAGAUGUUCAUGCUAUUGUAAUAGGAAUCACGACUUGCAUGUCGAUGAGUAUGACAACCGGCAGGAGCCAUAGGAGUUGUCUUUAUUCUUUUAUAUGACCUACGUGUCAUCAAGAAACGCCAUGUAAUUACUUUACUUUAUUGCUAAACGCGUUAGCCAUAGUAGUAGAAGUAAUAGUUGGCGAGAAACUUCAUGGAGACACGAUGAUGGAGAUCAUGAUGAUGGAGAUCAUGGUGUCAAGCCGGUGACAAGAUGAUCAUGGAGCCCCAAGAUGGAGAUCAAAGGAGCUAUGUGAUAUUGGCCAUAUCAUGUCACGUUUAUUAUUUGAUUGCAUGUGAUGUUUAUCAUGUUUUGCAUCUUGUUUACUUAGAACGACGGUAGUAAAUAAGAUGAUCCCUCACAAUAAAUUCAAGAAGUGUUCCCCCUAACUGUGCACCGUUGCGACAGUUCGCUGUUUCAAAACACCACGUGAUGAUCGGGUGUUUUAUUCAGACGUUCACAUACAACGGGUGUAAGACAGAUUUACACAUGCAAACACUUAGGUUGACUUGACGAGCCUAGCAUGUACAGACAUGGCCUCGGAACACAGAAGACCGAAAGGUCGAGCAUGAGUCGUAUAGAAGAUACGAUCAACAUGAAGAUGUUCACCGAUGUUGACUAGUCCGUCUCACGUGAUGAUCGGACACGGUCUAGUUUAACUCGGAUCAUGUAAUACUUAGAUGAAGAGAGGGAUGUCUAAUCUAAGUGGGAGUUCACUAAUAAUUUGAUUAGUUGAACUUAAUUAUCAUGAACUUAGUCUAAAAUCUUUGCAAUAUGUCUUGUAGAUCAAAUGGCCAACGUAGUGCUCAACUUCAACGCGUUCCUAGAGAAAACUAAGCUGAAAGAUGAUGGCAGCAACUAUACGGACUGGGUCCGGAACCUGAGGAUCAUCCUCAUAGCUGCCAAGAAAGAUUAUGUCCUACAAGCACCGCUUGGUGACGCACCCGUUCUCCCUGCGGAACAAGACGUUAUGAAUGCUUGGCAGGCACGUUUCGAUGACUACUCCCUCGUUCAGUGCGGCAUGCUUUACAGCCUAGAGCCGGGCCUCCAAAAGCGUUUUGAGAGACAUGGAGCAUAUGAGAUGUUCGAAGAGCUGAAAAUGGUUUUCCAAGCUCACGCCCGGGUCGAGAGAUAUGAAGUCUCCGACAAAUUCUUCAACUGUAAGAUGGAGGAAAACAGUUCUGUCAGUGAGCACAUACUCACUAUGUCUGGGUUGCAUAACCGCUUGACUCAGCUGGGAGUUAAUCUCCCGGAUGAUGCGGUCAUUGACAGAAUCCUCCAAUCGCUUCCACCAAGCUACAAGAGCUUUGUGAUGAACUUCAAUAUGCAGGGGAUGGAAAAGACCAUUCCUGAAGUAUUUGCUAUGCUAAAAUCAGCAGAGGUAGAAGUCAGGAAGGUACAUCAAGUGUUGAUGAUCAAUAAAACCACUAAGUUCAAGAAAGGCAAGGGUAAAAAGAGCUUCAAGAAGGACGGCAAGGAGGUUGCCACGCCCGGCAAGCAAGCUGCCGGGAAGAAGCCAAAGAAUGGACCCAAGCCCGAGACUGAGUGUUUUUAUUGCAAGGGAAGCAGUCACUGGAAGCGGAACUGCCCUAAGUACUUAGCGGAUAAGAAGGCCGGCAAAACAAAAGGUAUAUGUGAUAUACAUGUAAUUGAUGUGUACCUUACUAGUGCCCGCAGUGGCUCCUGGGUAUUUGAUACCGGUGCAGUUGCUCACAUUUGUAACUCAAAGCAGGGGCUGCAGAAUAAGCGGAAACUGGCAAAGGACGAGGUGACGAUGCGCGUCGGGAAUGGUUCCAAGGUCAAUGUGAUCGCCGUCGGCACGCUACCUCUGCAUCUCCCUUCGGGAUUAGUUUUAAACCUUAAUAAUUGUUAUUUAGUGCCAGCUUUGAGCAUGAACAUUGUAUUGGGAUCUCGUUUAAUUCGAGAUGGCUACUCUUUUAAAUCUGAGAAUAAUGGUUGUUCCAUUUUUAUGAGAGAUAUGUUUUAUGGUCAUGCUCCUAUGGUGAAUGGUUUAUUCUUUAUGAAUCUCGAACGUGAUGCUACACAUGUUCAUAAUGUGAGUACCAAAAGAGGUAAGGUUGAUAAUGAUAGUCCCACAUACUUGUGGCACUGCCGCCUUGGUCACAUAGGUGUUAAACGCAUGAAGAAGCUCCAUGCUAAUGGACUUUUAGAGUCUCUUGAUUAUGAAUCAUUUGACACGUGCGAACCAUGCCUUAUGGGUAAAAUGACCAAGACUCCGUUCUCAGGAACAAUGGAGCGAGCAACCGACUUAUUGGAAAUCAUACAUACCGAUGUGUGCGGUCCAAUGAGUGUUGAGGCUCGCGGUGGCUAUCGUUAUGUUCUCACCCUCACUGAUGAUUUAAGUAGGUAUGGGUAUAUCUACUUAAUGAAACACAAGUCUGAAACCUUUGAAAAGUUCAAGGAAUUUCAGAGUGAGGUUGAAAAUCAACGUGACAGGAAAAUCAAGUUUCUGCGAUCAGAUCGUGGAGGAGAAUACUUGAGUCACGAGUUUGGAGCACACUUAAGAAAAUGUGGAAUAGUUUCACAACUCACGCCGCCUGGAACACCUCAGCGUAAUGGUUUGUCCGAAUGUCGUAAUCGCACUCUGUUAGAUAUGGUGCGAUCUAUGAUGUCUCUUACCGAUUUACCGCUUUCUUUUUGGGGCUAUGCUUUAGAGACUGCCGCAUUCACUUUAAAUAGGGCUCCGUCGAAAUCCGUUGAGACGACACCGUAUGAAUUAUGGUUUGGGAAGAAACCUAAGCUGUCGUUUCUAAAAGUUUGGGGAUGCGAUGCUUAUGUCAAGAAACUUCAACCUGAAAAGCUCGAACCCAAAUCGGAAAAAUGCGUCUUCAUAGGGUACCCAAAAGAAACUAUUGGGUACACCUUCUACCUCAGAUCCGAAGGCAAGAUCUUUGUUGCCAAGAAUGGGUCCUUUCUGGAGAAAGAGUUUCUCUCGAAAGAAGUAAGUGGGAGGAAAGUAGAGCUUGAUGAAGUAUUGCCUCUCGAACCGGAAAAUGGCGCAACUCAAGAAAAUGUUCCUGAGGUGCCAGCACCGACUAGAGAGGAAGUUAAUGAUAAUGAUCAAGAUACUUCUGAUCAAGCCCCUACUGAAAUUCGAAGGUCCACAAGGACACGUUCCGCACCAGAGUGGUACGGCAACCCUGUCUUGGAAAUCAUGCUGUUAGACAACGGUGAACCUUCGAACUAUGAAGAAGCGAUGGCGGGCCCGGAUUCCGACAAAUGGCUAGAAGCCAUGAAAUCCGAGAUAGGAUCCAUGUAUGAAAACAAAGUAUGGACUUUGACUGACUUGCCCGUUGAGAGGCGAGCCAUAGAAAAUAAAUGGAUCUUUAAGAAGAAGACAGACGCGGAUGGUAAUGUGACCAUCUAUAAAGCUCGGCUUGUCGCUAAGGGUUAUCGACAAGUUCAAGGGGUUGACUACGAUGAGACUUUCUCACCGGUAGCGAAGCUGAAGUCCGUCCGAAUCAUGUUAGCAAUUGCCGCAUUCUAUGAUUAUGAAGUAUGGCAAAUGGACGUCAAAACGGCAUUCCUUAAUGGUUUCCUUAAGGAAGAAUUGUAUAUGAUGCAGCCGGAAGGUUUUGUCGAUCCUAAGAAUGCUGACAAAGUGUGCAAGCUCCAACGCUCGAUUUAUGGGCUGGUGCAAGCAUCUCGGAGUUGGAACAUUCACUUUGAUGAGAUGAUCAAAGCGUUUGGGUUUACACAGACUUAUGGAGAAGCCUGCGUUUACAAGAAAGUGAGUGGGAGCUCUGUAGCAUUUCUCAUAUUAUAUGUAGAUGACAUACUGUUGAUGGGAAAUGAUAUAGAACUCUUGGACAACAUCAAGGCCUACUUGAAUAAAAGUUUUUCAAUGAAGGACCUUGGAGAAGCUGCUUAUAUAUUAGGCAUCAAAAUCUAUAGAGAUAGAUCGAGACGCCUCAUAGGUCUUUCACAAAGCACAUACCUUGAUAAGAUAUUGAAGAAGUUCAAUAUGGAUCAAUCCAAGAAAGGGUUCUUGCCUGUGUUACAAGGUGUGAAAUUGAGCUCAGCUCAAUGUCCGACCACGGCAGAAGAUAUAGAAGAGAUGAGCGUCAUCCCCUAUGCCUCAGCCAUAGGUUCUAUUAUGUAUGCCAUGCUGUGUACCAGACCUGAUGUUAACCUUGCCGUAAGUUUGGUAGGAAGGUACCAAAGUAAUCCCGGCAAGGAACACUGGACAGCGGUCAAGAAUAUCCUGAAGUACCUGAAAAGGACUAAGGAAAUGUUUCUCGUUUAUGGAGGUGACGAAGAGCUCGUCGUAAAGGGUUACGUCGACGCUAGCUUCGACAUAGAUCUGGAUGACUCUAAGUCACAAACCGGAUACGUGUAUAUUUUGAAUGGUGGGGCAGUAAGCUGGUGCAGUUGCAAGCAAAGCGUCGUGGCGGGAUCUACAUGUGAAGCGGAGUACAUGGCAGCCUCGGAGGCAGCACAUGAAGCAAUAUGGGUGAAGGAUUUCAUCACCGACCUAGGAGUCAUACCCAAUGCGUCGGGGCCGAUCAAGCUCUUCUGUGACAACACUGGAGCUAUUGCACUUGCCAAGGAGCCCAGGUUUCACAAGAAGACAAGGCACAUCAAGCGUCGCUUCAACUCCAUUCGUGAAAAUGUUCAAGAUGGAGACAUAGAGAUUUGUAAAGUACAUACGGACCUGAAUGUAGCAGAUCCGUUGACUAAACCUCUCCCUAGAGCAAAACAUGAUCAACACCAGAAUUCCAUGGGUGUUCGAUUCAUCACAAUGUAACUAGAUUAUUGACUCUAGUGCAAGUGGGAGACUGUUGGAAAUAUGCCCUAGAGGCAAUAAUAAAAGCAUUAUUAUUAUAUUUCCUUGUUCAUGAUAAUUGUCUUUAUUCAUGCUAUAAUUGUGUUAUCCGCAAAACGUAAUACAUGUGUGAAUAACAGACAUCAACAUGUCCCUAGUGAGCCUCUAGUUGACUAGCUCGUUGAUCAACAGAUAGUCAUGGUUUCCUGACUAUGGACACUGGAUGUCAUUGAUAACGAGAUCACAUCAUUAGGAGAAUGAUGUGAUGGACAAGACCCAAUCCUAAACAUAGCACAAGAUCGUAUAGUUCGUUUGCUAGAGUUUUCCAAUGUCAAGUAUCUUUUCCUUAGACCAUGAGAUCGUGUAACUCCCGGAUACCGUAGGAGUGCUUUGGGUAUGCCAAACGUCACAACGUAACUGGGUGACUAUAAAGGUAGACUACGGGUAUCUCCGAAAGUGUCUGUUGGGUGACAUGGAUCAAGACUGGGAUUUGUCACUCCGUAUGACGGAGAGGUAUCACUGGGCCCACUCGGUAAUGCAUCAUCAUAAUGAGCUCAGAGUGACCAAGUGUCUGGUCACGGGAUCAGGCAUUACGGUACGAGUAAAGUGACUUGCCGGUAACGAGAUUGAACGAGGUAUUGGGAUACCGACGAUCGAAUCUCGGGCAAGUAACAUAUUGAUAGACAAAGGGAAUAGCGUACGGGGUUGAUUGAAUCCUCGACAUCGUGGUUCAUCCGAUGAGAUCAUCGUGGAGCAUGUGGGAGCCAACAUGGGUAUCCAGAUCCCGCUGUUGGUUAUUGACCGGAGAGUCGUCUCGGUCAUGUCUGCUUGUCUCCCGAACCCGUAGGGUCUACACACUUAAGGUUCGGUUACAGUAGGGUUGUAGGGAUAUGUAUAUGCAAUAACCCGAAUGUUGUUCGGAGUCCCGGAUGAGAUCCCGGACGUCACGAGGAGUUCCAGAAUGGUCCGGAGAUAAAGAUUUAUAUAUGGGAAGUCCUGUUUCGGGCAUCGGGACAAGUUUCGGGGUCAUCGGUAUUGUACCGGGACCACCGGAAGGGUCCCGGGGGUCCACCGGGUGGGUCCACCUGUCCCGGGGGGCCACAUGGGCUGUAAGGGGGUGCGCCUUGGCCUAAUGGGCCAAGGGCACCAGCCCCACAUAGGCCCAUGCGCCUAGGGUUUAAGGGGGNNNNNNNNNNAAUGGUCCGGAGGUAAAGAUUUAUAUAUGGGAAGUCCUGUUUCGGGCAUCGGGACAAGUUUCGGGGUUAUCGGUAUUGUACCGGGACCACCGGAAGGGUCCCGGGGGUCCACCGGGUGGGUCCACCUGUCCCGGGGGGCCACAUGGGCUGUAAGGGGGUGCGCCUUGGCCUAAUGGGCCAAGGGCACCAGCCCCACAUAGGCCCAUGCGCCUAGGGUUUAAGGGGGCAAGAGUCCUAGGAGGGUAAGGCACCUCCUAGGUGCCUUGGGGGGGGGGGAGGGAAAACCCCCUUGGCCGCCGCACCCCCUAGGAAAUUGGAUCUCCUAGGGCCGGCCACCCCCCCUUUUGGCACCCCUAUAUAUAGUGGGGGAGAGGAGGGACUUCAUACCUGAACGCCUUGGCCUUUGGUUGCCUCCUUCUCCCUCCCCAACACCUCCUCCACCUCCAUAGUGCUUAGCAAAGCUCUGCCGGAGUACUGCAGCUCCAUCAACACCACGCCGUCGUGCUGCUGCUGGUGCCAUCUCCCUCAACCUCUCCUCCCUCCCUUGCUGGAUCAAGAAGGAGGAGACAUGGCUGUUCCGUACGUGUGUUGAACGCGGAGGUGCCGUUCGUUCGGCGCUGGUCAUCGGUGAUUUGGAUCACGUCGAGUACGACUACAUCAUCACCGUUCUUUUGAACGCUUCCGCUCGCGAUCUACAAAGGUAUGUAGAUGCAUCUAAUCACUCGUUGCUAGAUGAACUCCUAGAUGAUCUUGGUGAAACGAGUAGGAAAAUUUUUGUUUUCUUCAACGUUCCCCAACACUGAGUUAUUGAACACUCAAAGACACCGAUAACUGAACCGAGUCCGCUCUACGGUUCAACAACUCUUCAGUAAGCUUCUAUAAGUACGAGUUUGUUACCCGAUCACGCCAUUCCUAGCCUGUUUGGCUAUAUCAUUGUCGUGACGAUUCUAACGGUGCUACCUGGUCCUUAUUCUCGGAGCACCAAUUUUCGACGAUGAACUAACCUUACGUCGAUUUUCCUCGUCAUACCCUUUCACCUUAAACAACAAGCUUGAGUUCGAGUUUGUGUCGUAACUGUGGUUCCAAUAACCUCUUGCUUCAUCAUUCCUUUGACUUGAUGUCGUCGCUGAUUGACUAUAUCUGCAUGUAAUCUCUCGACAAUUGUGUCGUGAUCAUCAUCAACCUUAUGAGCUCUUCCAGGAAUUCAAUUGAAUUCAUGAUGGGUAAUACCAUCCUUGCCCCUUGAUGAUUCCUGUUCUCAUCGACCACUUUAUUGCCUUCCGUUCAACACAACUUGUUCGUGUUUUGUGUAAACCUUGAGAUCACUGCUACCCAGCAGUUGAUCUUCCUUACCUCGGAAGUAUUACCAUCUCUUUUUGUCAAGAAUGUGGUGAGAAUUUCACCACCUCUUAAUAAUUCUUGAUAUCAUAAUACUUCUUGCCAUCUUCGUUCAUUCCUUGGUCCCCGUAUUGUUUUCAACCGGAAUACCGACAAUGGAGCUAUGACGUGUGAAUUCAAAACUUCUAACAACCCUAUUGCUUUGAAGUGAAUGGGCGAUAGUUCAUUCUAAGUCCUUCGCUAAUUGAAUCACCAUUAUGACAUUGGUCGUGCAACCCAACCCAUAUUUCGGGCGCACCUUUCAACCAAUGUUUAAUUGUGUAUGUUUUCCUCGAGCAUACUUCCUUAUAUCAUUUGAUCUGACAAAUGUUAUCUCCUUGUUCACUUAAUGGUGGAAAUCCAUCUUUUGGGAAUCUCAGUGAAUUGCCGUUGAGUUCACCAGACACCUCCUUGUCCUCUCCUUGGGUUAAUGAUGGACUCUUGUUAACGGAAAUCACUUCAUAGUUCAUUUCCCCAAGAAUCUUACAAUGUCAUCUCGUCAAUUUGCGUUGCACCUUUUCUUCUCAGGUAUCCUAAGUCUGAGGUAUCCUGACACCAAUCGGAUCUGAAUCUCGGUCAGAUAUGAUGGUUGGGACAACUUUCCAAGAGUCAUGAUGUUGAUCCUUUGAUGACCCGGUAACAUGAUGUCAUGCCUAGCACCCCCCCCCCCGGCUUGAGGACCUAUCAUUGUAGAUUCCUUUUCAGCAAGGUUAUCCAUUCAUCCAUGAGGAAAUUGUAAGACUUAUUGUACAAGUUAUUCCUGAUGGAUCCUUCGUGUUUCCAAAGUCUGAUCUUCACCUGAAGACCUUGUUAAUGCUAUCUCGAAGCAUGUCAAUGGUACUCCGAUUUUCAACAGGAACAUUUGAAGCACGAUGCUAAAUUUUAUUUAUCAUUUAUCCUAAUACCGUGGUAUGGGUAAUAUCAUGAGAUUCCUCCCCCCUUACCUAAAUGGUUUUCUACUUUAUAUCCUGCCAUGGAUAUCUUGCUCUGCUUGUCCUUGGGAAGGAUAUACCCUUGAAAUAUGUGUUUAAACAUAUUUUCCUUUCCAUUGUUCUGUUUAAUCUGAUGAUCAUAUUUUCCUUCCAUUGGUUUGUUUAAACCUUUUCUAUGAUCUAUAUGAUAUAAGCAGUAAUAAUCCACUGCUUGUGCAAACACCUCGAUGUACAACUUUGUCGGUAAGACCUUGUUACUUUUGUUGAUGACAUUCCGGUAACCACCGAUGGACGGGAACCUUGCCUAUUGGUCCGCCUCAUUUCAACGAGCAGAAAAAUGGUUCUCUUUGUCCCUCGCCCUUGGUACCUAUGUUGUUGCCGACAUGACCCACAGACUCUCCUCUGGCAUGCCUUGCUUACAUGAUUGUGCAAGACGUCACCGCCUUUCCUACUUUUAACCCACAUGGUGGGCCCAUAACCCACAGUUCCACAGGAUCGAAACCUGACUCUCCUGUACACCUUGUUGUCAAAGUUAUUCCUUGAGCUUGACUUCGUAUGUAAUUCAUGGGCCACAUGCCUAGUAAUCUAUUCUGGUAUCAGACACAAUACCUACCCUCGCCUUUCUGAACCCCUUUUCUCACUCUGGUUCAGACUUCGAGCAACUAUAUAUCCGCUGGGAACCUCUUAUUCUAUCUUCGUACCUUACUCUCGAUGUAUUUUAUAUGUUCAACUCGAGAGAUAAUCUUAUGCUCAUUCAUGGGUUAACCCCAGAUUGUUUUCCCUCAUAAGCAUUCUGUCGUAGCCAAGCUGCCCCUUACCUAUUUGAAAGUACGUUGGAGAUCCCGAAGAAAGGAUGACGACUUGAUCAUGGUGACUUGAAGCAGAGAAAUGGAGACAUCAACGUAAUGGAUUGACCUCUUCGAGGAGAGCAACCAAGACCGAGAAGAUCCAUUAGAAUUUCGCAACCACAACUUCCCCCCUUACUCCACCGCUUAAAUCUCGGGACGAGAUUUCUUGUAGUGGAGGAGAAUUGUGACGCCCGGAUAAUUAAGCUACAGUAAUCCCGGGCUAAUGGUGCCACGUCACCGCGGUUACUGUUGUUAACCUUGCGAUGAUUCGAAACCGUUUCAAAAUUCAAAUUCAAAUUAAUGUCAAUAAUAAAAGUUUUCAAAAAUUAAAAUAAAAAUGUUCGGAUUGUACUAAAUAUUACAUAGAUAAUUAUGGUGUAGAAGGCACAGUUUUAUAAAAUACAUAAAUAUUUUAAAUUUAAUUAAAACAGAAGAGAAAAUAAAUAAAAGGAAGAAAAUACAAAAGAGACAAACAAACAAAAAAAAGGAAAAGGAACCCCCAUCUGGGCCUCGGCCCAGCAGGCCGACGGACUGCCAGGCCGGCCCACCCCGGUCCCCCUUAUCCCCCACGCGACCAAACCCUAAACCGCUACCACACCCACUCCCCCUCGUUCCUCUCGCUCCCCCCCGAUCUGGAUCGGGGGCGCUUGCCCCCGACGACCUCGUCGUCGUCGCCGCGCUGACCCCGCCGUCGCCUCCGCCCGCCCCCUCAAGGCCUCCGCCCCGCGCGGAUCCNNNNNNNNNNNNNNNNNNNNNNNNNNNNNNNNNNNNNNNNNNNNNNNNNNNNNNNNNNNNNNNNNNNNNNNNNNNNNNNNNNNNNNNNNNNNNNNNNNNNNNNNNNNNNNNNNNNNNNNNNNNNNNNNNNNNNNNNNNNNNNNNNNNNNNNNNNNNNNNNNNNNNNNNNNNNNNNNNNNNNNNNNNNNNNNNNNNNNNNNNNNNNNNNNNNNNNNNNNNNNNNNNNNNNNNNNNNNNNNNNNNNNNNNNNNNNNNNNNNNNNNNNNNNNNNNNNNNNNNNNNNNNNNNNNNNNNNNNNNNNNNNNNNNNNNNNNNNNNNNNNNNNNNNNNNNNNNNNNNNNNNNNNNNNNNNNNNNNNNNNNNNNNNNNNNNNNNNNNNNNNNNNNNNNNNNNNNNNNNNNNNNNNNNNNNNNNNNNNNNNNNNNNNNNNNNNNNNNNNNNNNNNNNNNNNNNNNNNNNNNNNNNNNNNNNNNNNNNNNNNNNNNNNNNNNNNNNNNNNNNNNNNNNNNNNNNNNNNNNNNNNNNNNNNNNNNNNNNNNNNNNNNNNNNNNNNNNNNNNNNNNNNNNNNNNNNNNNNNNNNNNNNNNNNNNNNNNNNNNNNNNNNNNNNNNNNNNNNNNNNNNNNNNNNNNNNNNNNNNNNNNNNNNNNNNNNNNNNNNNNNNNNNNNNNNNNNNNNNNNNNNNNNNNNNNNNNNNNNNNNNNNNNNNNNNNNNNNNNNNNNNNNNNNNNNNNNNNNNNNNNNNNNNNNNNNNNNNNNNNNNNNNNNNNNNNNNNNNNNNNNNNNNNNNNNNNNNNNNNNNNNNNNNNNNNGCCGGUGCUGCCACGCCGUGUGCUUCUGCUGUUGCUUCUCACGUGCUCUCCGCCCACCCGUGCCCCGUGGUCGUGCCCUGCCUCGCCCACGGCCACCCCCUAGCUGGCGCCCCACUGUGCCCCGGUGGCCUGCGCCCGCCCCAUCGCCCCGAAUGGCCCCGCCCGUGGGCCAGCGACCAUCUGCGCCCGUUUGGGCUGGUACCCGCGCCAGCGCCCUGCGCCCGCUGCCCGCACGCCCGUUCGGGCCACGCCCGAUAGGCCCCUGGGGCCUAUGACAGAUGGGCCCCAUGCCCAUAACGUUAAAAAAAGGAAUUAAAAUUAAAAAUAAAAAAUAAAAAAUGAUUUAAUAAAAUUAAUUAUUAAUUAAUUAAUUAUCUAAUGAAUUAAUUAAGUUAAUUAAUCCGGUUUAAUUAAUUUCAUUAACUAGUUAGGUUAAUUAAAUAGUAAUUAAAUUAACUAAUCUGUAAUUAACCUAAACAGAGAAUGACAGGUGGGUCCCACCGGACCCACAUGUCAGGUUGACCAAGUCAACUCUGUUGACUGCUGACGUCAGCAUGACAUCAUGCUAACGUCAUAAAUCCAUUUUUCGAAUUAAUUAAAUAAUUAGUUAAAUUCCAGAAAUUAAUAAAAUCUUUAGAAAAUCAUAUCUUUUAAUCCGUAACUCGGAUUAAAUUAUUUUCAACAUGAAAGUUGCUCAGAACGACGAGACGAAUCCGGAUAUGCAGCCCGUUCGUCCACCACACCCCCUAACCUAUCGAACUCGCAACUUUCCCCCUCCGGCUCCUCUGCCCGAAAACGCGAAACACCGGGAAUACUUUCCCGGAUGCUUUCCCCCUUCGUCUGUAUCACCUACUACCGCGUUCGGGCACACCUAGCACCGCGUAUUGCCUCGUUUUGUUUGUGAUACUUUGUUGGCUCUGUAUUUACUGUUUCUUCCCCCCUCUUCUUCCCCGGUAGACCCCGAGACCGGCGCUGAUGCCACCGAGUACGACUACAUCGACGACGACCCCUCUCUCUUGCUAGAGCAACCAGGCAAGCCNNNNNNNNNNNNNNNNNNNNNNNNNNNNNNNNNNNNNNNNNNNNNNNNNNNNNNNNNNNNNNNNNNNNNNNNNNNNNNNNNNNNNNNNNNNNNNNNNNNNNNNNNNNNNNNNNNNNNNNNNNNNNNNNNNNNNNNNNNNNNNNNNNNNNNNNNNNNNNNNNNNNNNNNNNNNNNNNNNNNNNNNNNNNNNNNNNNNNNNNNNNNNNNUGACGACCCCUCUCUCUUGCCAGAGCAACCAGGCAAGCCCCCCCCCCUUGAUCACCAGAUAUCGCCUAUUCUCCUCUAUACUGCUUGCAUUAGAGUAGUGCAGCAUGUUACUGCUUUCCGUUAAUCCUAUUCUGAUGCAUAGCCUGUCAUUGUUGCUACAGUCAUUGAUACCUUACCCGCAAUCCUAAAUGCUUAGUAUAGGAUGCUAGUUUAUCAUCAUUGGCCCUACAUUCUUGUCAGUCUGCCUCGCUAUACUAUUGGGCCGUGAUCACUCGGGAGGUGAUCACGGGUAUAUACUUUACAUACAUACAUACUAUACAGAUGGUGACUAAAGUCGGGCCAGCUCGAAGAGUACCCGCGAGUGAUUCACGGAUUGGGGGCUGAAAGGACCUUUGUCCCGAUGGCCCUCUGUGUGGAUCUUUGUGGCGGAGCGACAGGGCAGGUUGAGACCGCCUAGGAGAGAGGUGGGCCUGGCCCUAUUCGGCGUUCGCGGAUACUUAACAUGCUUAACGAGAUCUUGGUAUUUGAUCUGAGUUGGCUACGAGCCUAUACGCACUAACCAUCUACACGGGAGUAGUUAUGGGUAUCCCGAUGUCGUGGUAUCAGCCGAAGCACUUCGUGACGCCAGCGACUGAGUGGCGCGCGCCGGAUUGGACGUAAGCCUGCUCUUCUAUUAAGGGGGCUAGUUCUUCUUUCUGCCGCGUACACAACAUGCAGGUGUGCUAUGGGCGAUGGGCCCAGACCCUUGUGUGCUUAGGUUUAGACCGGCGUGCUGGCCUCUCUGUUGAGCCUAGGUGGGGCUGCGACGUGUUGAUCUUUCGCGGCCGGGCAUGACCCGAGAAAGUGUGUCCGGCCAAAUGGGAUCAAGCGUGUUGGGUAAGUUGGUGCACCCCUGCAGGGAAGUUAAUCUAUUCGAAUAGCCGUGAUCUUCGGUAACAGGACGACUUGGAGUUGUACCUUGACCUUAUGACAACUAGAACCGGAUACUUAAUAAAACACACCCUUCCAAGUGCCAGAUACAACCGGUGGUCGCUCUCUCUCAGGGAUACGAGGAGGGGAUCGCCGGGUAGGAUUAUUGCUAUGUGAUGUUACUUGGAGGACUUCAACCUACCCUCUUCUACCUGUUUCAACACGAAGGUGACCAGAAGCGUAGUCUUUGAUAAGACUAGCAAUCCCCCUCUUAUUCUGGCAUUCUGCAGUUCAGUCCACUGAUAUGGCCCUUUACACAUAUAUCCAUGCAUAUGUAGUGUAGCUCCUUGCUUGCGAGUACUUUGGAUGAGUACUCACGGUUGCCUUGUUCCCCCUUUUCCCCCUAUCUCUACUCGAUUGCUGCAACCAGACGAUGGAGCCCAGGAGCCAGACGCCACCGUCGAUGACGACUACUACACUGGAGGUGCCUGCUACGUGCAGCCCGCUGACGACGACCAGGAGUAGUUUAGGAGGAUCCCAGGCAGGAGGCCUGCGCCUCUUUCGAUCCGUAUCCCAGUUUGUGCUAGCCUUCUUAAAGCAAACUUGUUUAACUUAUGUCUGUACUCAGAUAUUGUUGCUUCCGCUGACUCGUCUAUGAUCGAGCACUUGUAUUCGAGCCCUCGAGGCCCCUGGCUUGUAUUAUGAUGCUUGUAUGACUUAUUUAUGUUUUAGAGUUGUGUUGAGAUAUCUUCCCAUGAGUCCCUGAUCUUGAUCGUACACAUUUGCGUGCAUGAUUAGUGUACGAUUAAAUCGGGGGCAUCACAGUCCUGCUUCCUCUGCUCCUCCUCCAGCUUCCUUUUCUUCUCCUCCUCCAUCUUCCUUCUUGCACGGCUCCUGUAGCCUCGUUCCAUUCUGAAAAGCCCUCAUACCAGGGAAUAACGCCCAUGCCUCGUGUUCUUCCCGGGUGUUCAGGAUUUCCCAGGGCGUGUGUUAGCUUGUCAUUCUCUCUGUUGGGCGUGAACAACCCCCUUCAAGAUUCAUCUAUUGCAUCAAUUAUCUUUUGUUCGGCUCCUUUUAGACUUGCCUUCCGCGAAACUCUGCCUGUCUUCGGGUCCAACGCUCCCCCAUGCGCAUAGAACCAAGUUCUGCACCUGGGGGGCCAGUGCCGGGUAACCGGAGUGACCCCUGCAUCCUC
rnacentral:lncRNA from 1 species